rnacentral:rRNA from 1 species
CCUACGGGAGGCAGCAGUAGGGAAUCUUUCACAAUGGGCGAAAGCCUGAUGGAGCAACGCCGCGUGCAGGAUGAAGGCCUUCGGGUUGUAAACUGCUUUUAUAAGCGAGAAAUAUGAUGGUAACUUACGAAUAAGGAUCGGCUAAUUACGUGUCAGCAGCCGCGGUCAUACGUAGGAUCCGAGCAUUAUCCGGGGUGACUGUGUGUAAAGAGUUGCGUAGGUGGGAUAAUAAGUAGCUAGUGAAAUCUGGUGGCUCAACCAUUCAGACUAUUAGCUAAACUGUUGAACUCGAGACCGGUAGGGGUGACUGGAAUUUCUAGUGUAGGAGUGAAAUCCGUAGAUAUAAGAAGGAACACCAGUAGCGUAGGCAGGUUACUGGGACGGUUCUGACACUAAGGCACGAAAGCAUAGGGAGCAAACGGGAUUAGAUACCCCGGUAGUC